rnacentral:rRNA from 1 species
GACGAACGCUGGCGGCGUGCUUAACACAUGCAAGUCGAACGGAAAGGCCCUGCUUUUGUGGGGUGCUCGAGUGGCGAACGGGUGAGUAACACGUGAGUAACCUGCCCUUGACUUUGGGAUAACUUCAGGAAACUGGGGCUAAUACCUGAUAGGAGCUCCUGCUGCAUGGUGGGGGUUGGAAAGUUUCGGCGGUUGGGGAUGGACUCGCGGCUUAUCAGCUUGUUGGUGGGGUAGUGGCUUACCAAGGCUUUGACGGGUAGCCGGCCUGAGAGGGUGACCGGCGACAUUGGGACUGAGAUACGGCCCAGACUCCUACGGGAGGCAGCAGGGGGGAAUAUUGCACAAUGGGCGGAAGCCUGAUGCAGCAACGCCGCGUGCGGGAUGACGGCCUUCGGGUUGUAAACCGCUUUCGCCUGUGACGAAGCGUGAGUGACGGUAAUGGGUAAAGAAGCACCGGCUAACUACGUG